ensembl:snoRNA
AUCCUUUUGUAGUUCAUAAGCGUGAUAAUUGAGUGCUCACACUGUUGUGUGGCUUUUGCCUCCCUCAAACCUUGUUAUGACAUCAGCACAUUACCUGUCUGACA